rnacentral:lncRNA from 1 species
AAGGUGUUGGGUUUUUCCUCCUAAGCGCAGACGCAAUGAAAAUAAUUAGAUAUGAAGGGACAUUCCGGUAAGGACGCGGAAUCCAAAGGAGGAAAUAAAACAAUAGCCUUUGUUCUGCUUCUCGACCGCUGCCUCUUUAAGAGAAUCCACCAGGAAAUGGGAGAUCGGGUUACAGCCUGCACACCGGGAAAUGUGGGGAGAGCGAGCGCCCGAGCGCGACGCCGGAGACAAAGCCGGGCCGCCGCGCCGCAGACGCAGGAGCGCGGCCGGGUGGGGGAUUCCCCGUGAAGGUGGGCGCCCCGAAAGGCGGCGGCGCCGCGCGCGCCCGCGGGGGGAUGCAGCGGCCGCGGGCGCUUCCCCAGCGGAGCACGCGUUCUGGGGCAAGGAAGGCGGCUGGGCAGUUAUCAAAAGCAGAACAUUCGAAUUUAGGAGAAGCAACAUGAGUAAUCCUGAGGAUAGGAAUGAAAGUGACAUGUCACUCCUGAUCCAAAGCUGGAAAGAGUGGGUUUGAGUUCUCCAUGUGUUCCUUUACCCGGCUGCAACGAUGUACAGCAUACCCGACAGCGACGCCUUCAUCAGUAAACUUCUAUCACUCAAGAUUGAAUCCUCAUCUUGUAUCAGAAUCAGCCAGCUGUCGGCCAAAAUUUGUGAUCCUGUGCAGAGAAUUGAGUUGUCACUGGAAGCAGCUACCCAGACAAGGACUAGAUUUUCCCAUUCCUCCUGCACCAGAAGUUGUCUUCCUUCCGAUGCCAACCUGUGGAAUCUGAAACCAGAUGACCAUGAGAUCCAGGAGACAGCAGAGCCAAAAGGGAAAAAAAACCCUGGAUUCCUGAAUCACCAAAUGGAAGAAAGCCACCCACAGAUCAGUAACACCCAUCCUGGCCUGUGAUGUGAGUGAGAAAGAAACUUUGAUUUUACAUAAGGUGUAGCUGACCAAAAGCAGAGCUGCUUGCAAAAGUCAUGGCUCCAAACGAGUGCCCCUCAGCAAAGGAGGAAGGGCAGCAUGUGUAGAAGUCAGGAGCCAUCGAGGUGGAGAGACGCUGGCAGACUAAUUUGCCACAGGUCACAUCUGGCUGAGUAUCAUAGGUUUCUCAGGUAUGAUGAGAACAAAUUCCUUUGCCGUUCUUGGAAAAGACAUCCUGGAGAUUCUUGAGAAUCAGAGAAUCUGACGUUAAGCUUGUGAAAGUUAGAGAAAUCCCUAAAUUCAGGAACAAAUCCCUUUAUGCCAAAGGGAGAUGAUGGCUCAAGAAUUCACAUCACCAGUCUGCAGUGGAGGAUGGAGAAAAUUAAGAUUGUAUGUUUUCAAAUGACCCAAUAAACCCAAUGCUGCCUUGGACAAUCACUUCCCAGCCUAAGAAAACAUGCACUGAAAGCAAAGUAAAACAGUAACACUUUUUAAAAGAUAUGACUUCAGCUUCCAACCCUACUUCAGAACUUGGUGAGCUAGUGUGCGUCCUGAGAAGAAUAUCCUUAACCUAAACUAAGCUGACUUGAAUAGCUCUUAGAAUAAUAGCCGCAAAUAGGUUUCAUUUUAUUUGCCAACUCUAAUAAAUUGGUAGUGGCUUCUUGAAGUUCUAUACCAUCAAGGAUUCUAAGACUGAAGGAGAAUUCAGUGGGACAGCAUAUCACGAUGUAUUAACAACGUCUGUCAUGGGCUUGAGAAUGGAUUAUGGUGGAGAUAUUUGACAUUUCCUGACCUAAAACCAAAGCAAGUCAAGAAGACUCUUCUACCUAAUUCUAUCCCAAAGACUGAACUUAAGAUCUUACCACUAUAAAGAGAUGAAAGGCAGUACUUAUCAUUUAAAAUAAAAGCAGACACUUUGCAAGAAAAGGUAAAAAUAAGACAAUAUUUGUCCUAAUGCUUAUUUUGUACAGCUCUCCUGGGACGUCCUUGGUCAAUUUCCCCUUUAUGGGACAAAAAAAGGCCCCUACCAAAUGCAAAUCAAAACUACAAUAAGAUAUCCCCUUCCACCUGUUAGAAUGACUAGUAUCAUAAAUACAAGAAAUAACAAGUGUUGGCAAAAGGGAACCCUUUUGUACCCUUGGUGGGGAUGUAAAUUGGUGCAGCCACUAUGGAAAACAGUAUGGAGGUUCCUCAAAAAAUUAAAAAUAGAACUACUAGAUGAUCCAGCAAUCCAACUUCUGUGUAUAUAUCCAAAGGAAAUAAAAACAAUAUCUCAAAGAGAUAGCUGCACUCCCAUGUUCAUUGCAGCAUUAUUCACCAUAUCCAAGAUCUAAGUGCCCAUUGAUGGAUGCAUGAAUAAAGAAGUUGUGGUAUAUAUACACAAUGGAAUAUUAUUUAGCCAUGAGAAAGAAGGACAUUCUGCGGUCUUUUUUGCAACAUGAACGGAUCUUGAGGGCAUUAUGCUAAGUGAAAUAAGUCAGACAGAGAAACACAAAUGCUGUAUGAUAUAGGUGGAAUCUAAGAAAAGCCGAACUCAUUGAAACAGAGACUGCAAUGGUGAUUACCAGGGGAUGGGGGAUGUGAGGGAAAGGAGGAGAUGUUAGUCAAAAAGUAUAAAUUUCCAGUUAUAAGAUACAUAAGUUCUGGGGAUCUAAUGUACAGCAUGGUGAUUAUAGUUAAUAAUACUGUAUUAUAUACUUGAAAGUUGUUAAGAGAGUAAUCUUAAAUGUUCUCACCACAAAAAAGAAAUGGUAAUUGUGUGACAUGAUGCAGGUGUUAGCGAACACUAUGGUCAUAAUCAUUUUGCAAUAUGUAAGUGCAUCAAAUCAACACAUUGUACACCUCAAACUUACACAAUACUAUAUGUCAAUUAUAUCUCAACAAAGCUGAAAAAAAGCUAUCACUCACCAUACACCAUCGUUUCUUUGGGAGAGGGCCAUAAAAAUCAGCAAACUAUAGCUAAAUAGAAAGUUCUACUAAGAUUUCUGUGUACCUUUCCCCUCAAAAUAAAGAUAUCCCUAUAAAGGAUCGAUAAUUAUGCA